rnacentral:rRNA from 1 species
AACCUUACCUACCCUUGACAUGGUCGGAAUCCCGAAGAGAUUCGGGAGUGCUCGAAAGAGAACCGGCGCACAGGUGCUGCAUGGCUGUCGUCAGCUCGUGUCGUGAGAUGUUGGGUUAAGUCCCGCAACGAGCGCAACCCUUGUCCUUAGUUGCUACGCAAGAGCACUCUAAGGAGACUGCCGGUGACAAACCGGAGGAAGGUGGGGAUGACGUCAAGUCCUCAUGGCCCUUAUGGGUAGGGCUUCACACGUCAUACAAUGGUCGGAACUUGAGGGUUGCCAACCCGCGAGGGGGAGCUAAUCCCAGAAAACCGAUCGUAUCCGGAUUGCACUCUGCAACUCGAGUGCAUGAAGCUGGAAUCGCUAGUAAUCGCGGAUCAGCAU